rnacentral:rRNA from 1 species
UAGGCGGUUGACUAAGUCAGAUGUGAAAGCCCCGGGCUUAACCUGGGAACUGCAUUUGAAACUGGUCAACUAGAGUAUGGUAGAGGAAAGUGGAAUUUCUGGUGUAGCGGUGAAAUGCGUAGAUAUCAGAAGGAACAUCGAUGGCGAAGGCAGCUUUCUGGACCAAUACUGACGCUGAGGUACGAAAGCGUGGGUAGCAAACAGGAUUAGAUACCCUGGUAGUCCACGCCGUAAACGAUGAUAACUAGCCGUUGGGAGGGUUUACCUCUUAGUGGCGAAGCUAACGCGUUAAGUUAUCCGCCUGGGGAGUACGGCCGCAAGGCUAAAACUCAAAGGAAUUGACGGGGACCCGCACAAGCGGUGGAGCAUGUGGUUUAAUUCGAUGCAACGCGAAGAACCUUACCUGGUCUUGACAUACAGAGAACUUUCUAGAGAUAGAUUGGUGCCUUCGGGAACUCUGAUACAGGUGCUGCAUGGCUGUCGUCAGCUCGUGUCGUGAGAUGUUGGGUUAAGUCCCGUAACGAGCGCAACCCUUAUCCUUAUUUGCCAGCACUUCGGGUGGGAACUAUAAGGAGACUGCCGGUGAUAAACCGGAGGAAGGCGGGGACGACGUCAAGUCAUCAUGGCCCUUACGACCAGGGCUACACACGUGCUACAAUGGGAAGGACAAAGGGUCGCUAAGCCGCGAGGUGGUGCUAAUCUCAUAAACCUUUUCGUAGUCCGGAUCGGAGUCUGCAACUCGACUCCGUGAAGUCGGAAUCGCUAGUAAUCGUGGAUCAGAACGCCACGGUGAAUACGUUCCCGGGUCUUGUACACACCGCCCGUCAUACCAUGGGAGUGGGUUGCACCAGAAGUGGGUAGUCU